rnacentral:rRNA from 1 species
UGCAAGUCGAGCGGACAGAAGGGAGCUUGCUCCCGGAUGUUAGCGGCGGACGGGUGAGUAACACGUGGGUAACCUGCCUGUAAGACUGGGAUAACUCCGGGAAACCGGAGCUAAUACCGGAUAGUUCCUUGAACCGCAUGGUUCAAGGAUGAAAGACGGUUUCGGCUGUCACUUACAGAUGGACCCGCGGCGCAUUAGCUAGUUGGUGAGGUAACGGCUCACCAAGGCGACGAUGCGUAGCCGACCUGAGAGGGUGAUCGGCCACACUGGGACUGAGACACGGCCCAGACUCCUACGGGAGGCAGCAGUAGGGAAUCUUCCGCAAUGGACGAAAGUCUGACGGAGCAACGCCGCGUGAGUGAUGAAGGUUUUCGGAUCGUAAAGCUCUGUUGUUAGGGAAGAACAAGUGCAAGAGUAACUGCUUGCACCUUGACGGUACCUAACCAGAAAGCCACGGCUAACUACGUGCCAGCAGCCGCGGUAAUACGUAGGUGGCAAGCGUUGUCCGGAAUUAUUGGGCGUAAAGGGCUCGCAGGCGGUUUCUUAAGUCUGAUGUGAAAGCCCCCGGCUCAACCGGGGAGGGUCAUUGGAAACUGGGAAACUUGAGUGCAGAAGAGGAGAGUGGAAUUCCACGUGUAGCGGUGAAAUGCGUAGAGAUGUGGAGGAACACCAGUGGCGAAAGGCGACUCUCUGGUCUGUAUCUGACGCUGAGGAGCGAAAGCGUGGGGAGCGAACAGGAUUAGAUACCCUGG